UUAACCUUUUAAGAAAAGUCCAGAGAGGCUGAGAAGGGUGCAAGGCGAAAACUUAGUGAACAAGGAAGAUUCUGCAGAAUUAUCCUCUUGUUUAUCUGAGUAUGAGCAAAACACCCUUCCAAGCGUUUGGACAGGGUGUUUUUUAUU
rfam:Bacillus sp. LL01 scaffold3.1, whole genome shotgun sequence.